AUUGAACGCUGGCGGCAGGCCUAACACAUGCAAGUCGAGCGGAGGAAGGGAGCUUGCUCCUGGAUUCAGCGGCGGACGGGUGAGUAAUGCCUAGGAAUCUGCCUGGUAGUGGGGGAUAACGUCCGGAAACGGGCGCUAAUACCGCAUACGUCCUGAGGGAGAAAGUGGGGGAUCUUCGGACCUCACGCUAUCAGAUGAGCCUAGGUCGGAUUAGCUAGUUGGUGGGGUAAAGGCCUACCAAGGCGACGAUCCGUAACUGGUCUGAGAGGAUGAUCAGUCACACUGGAGCUGAGACACGGUCCAGACUCCUACGGGAGGCAGCAGUGGGGAAUAUUGGACAAUGGGCGAAAGCCUGAUCCAGCCAUGCCGCGUGUGUGAAGAAGGUCUUCGGAUUGUAAAGCACUUUAAGUUGGGAGGAAGGGCAGUAAGUUAAUCCCUUGCUGUUUUGACGUUACCAACAGAAUAAGCACCGGCUAACUUCGUG
rnacentral:rRNA from 1 species